rnacentral:rRNA from 1 species
CGCGGUAUUAUGCCCGUGCGAAGGUAGCAUAAUCAUUAGUCUUUUAAUUGAAGGCUGGAAUGAAGGGUUGGACGAGAAAUAAGCUGUCUUUAUCUUAAAAAUUGAAUUUAACUUUUAAGUGAGAGGGCUUAAAUGGAUUAAAGGGACGAUAAGACCCUAUAAAGUUUAUAUGUUGAACUAAUUAAAGAUAAUUAGGAAGAGUAAAGUUUAUUAUUGGUUAGGCAUUUAGUUGGGGCGACUGAAAUAUAAGUUAAUUUAACUGUUUUAAAUUAAGGUCAAAGAUGUUUGAGUUUGUGAUCCCUUUUUAGGAUGAUAGAAUAAGUUACUUUAGGGAUAACAGCGUAAUUUUUUUUGAGAGUUCUUAUCGACAAAAAAGUUUGCGACCUCGAUGUUGAAUUAAAAGUUUCUUUGUAGUGCAGCAAUUACAAUAGAAGGU